GGUGGCUCAGUGGUAGAGUACAUGCCUUGCAUGCAUGAGGCCCUGCGUUGGAUUCCUCAGCACCA
rfam:Dipodomys ordii contig_40917, whole genome shotgun sequence.